GACGAACGCUGGCGGCAUGCCUAAUACAUGCAAGUUGAACGAUGAUAUUCUCUGCUUGCAGAGAAUUGAAGAGUAGCGAACGGGUGAGUAACACGUGGGGAACCUGCCCAUGAGAGGGGGAUAACAUUCGGAAACGGAUGCUAAUACCGCAUAAUGCUUUGGACCGCCUGGUCCAGAGACGAAAGACGGCUUUUGCCGUCACUCAUGGAUGGCCCCGCGCCGUAUUAGCUAGUUGGAGAGGUAAUGGCUCACCAAAGCUGUGAUACGUAGCCGACCUGAGAGGGUGAUCGGCCACACUGGGACUGAGACACGGCCCAGACUCCUACGGGAGGCAGCAGUAGGGAAUCUUCCACAAUGGGCGAAAGCCUGAUGGAGCAAUGCCGCGUGAAUGAAGAAGGUCUUCGGAUCGUAAAGUUCUGUUAUUAGAGAAGAACAAGUCAAGGAGUAACUGUCUUGACUUUGACGGUACCUAACCAGAAAGUCACGGCUAACUACGUG
rnacentral:rRNA from 1 species